rnacentral:rRNA from 1 species
GACGAACGCUGGCGGCGUGCUCAACACAUGCAAGUCGAGCGGAAAGGCUCCUUCGGGGGUACUCGAGCGGCGAACGGGUGAGUAACACGUGAGUAAUCUGCCCUGUGCUCUGGGAUAGCCACCGGAAACGGUGAUUAAUACCGGAUACAACCACUAUAGGCAUCUGUUGGUGGUGGAAAGUUUUUUCGGCAUGGGAUGUGCUCGCGGCCUAUCAGCUUGUUGGUGAGGUAAUGGCUCACCAAGGCUUUGACGGGUAGCCGGCCUGAGAGGGUGACCGGUCACACUGGGACUGAGACACGGCCCAGACUCCUACGGGAGGCAGCAGUGGGGAAUAUUGGACAAUGGGCGGAAGCCUGAUCCAGCAACGCCGCGUGAGGGAUGACGGCCUUCGGGUUGUAAACCUCUUUCAGUACCGACGAAGCGAAAGUGACGGUAGGUACAGAAGAAGGACCGGCCAACUACGUGCCAGCAGCCGCCGUAAAAC